rnacentral:tRNA from 1 species
UGGCAGAGUGGUUAAGCAUUUGACUGCUAAUCAAAAGCUUGGCGGUUCGAACCCACC